UUAAAAAGCUCAUAGUUGGAUUCCUGACCUGGGGUAGCCGGUCCGCCAAGCAAAAGGUGCGCACUGAGCGGCCUCGGUCAUCCUUGAGAAGAGCGGUCCUGGCAUUCAGUUGUCGGGGUCGGGAUUCUCGACGUUUACUGUGAAAAAAUCAGAGUGUUCAACGCAGGCUUACGCCUUGAAUACAUUAGCAUGGAAUAAUGAGAUAGGACCUUGGCGGUCUAUUUUGUUGGUUUGCACGCCGAGGUAAUGAUUAAAAGGGACGGUUGGGGUUCUUCGUAUUCAAUUGUCAGAGGUGAAAUUCUUGGAUUUAUGGAAGACGAACUGCUGCGAAAGCGUCGAACAAGGACGUUCUCAUUAAUCAAGAACGAAAGUUAGGGGAUCGAAGAUGAUUAGAUACCAUCGUAGUCUUAACCAUAAACUAUGCCGAUUCAGGAUUGGCGGUCGUUUGUUCUCGACUCCGUCAAGCACUGUAUGAGAAAUCAAAAUCUUUGGGUUCCGGGGGGAGUAUGGUCGCAAAGGCUGAAACUUAAAGAAAUUGACGGAAGGGCACCACCAGGAGUGGAGCCUGCGGCUUAAUUUGACUCAACACGGGGAAACUUACCA
rnacentral:rRNA from 1 species